CCAAACUUGGUCAUUUAGAGGAAGUAAAAGUCGUAACAAGGUCUCCGUAGGUGAACCUGCGGAGGGAUCAUUACCGAGUGAGGGCCUUCGGGUCCGACCUCCAACCCUUUGUGAACCAACUCUGUUGCUUCGGGGGCGACCCUGCCGUUCGCGGCGGCGGCGCCCCCGGAGGCCCAAUCAAAACACUGCGUAACUUUGCGUCGGAGUCUCGAUAAAUAAAUCAAAACUUUCAACAACGGAUCUCUUGGUUCUGGCAUCGAUGAAGAACGCAGC
rnacentral:misc_RNA from 1 species